rnacentral:rRNA from 1 species
UACGUAGGGUGCGAGCGUUAAUCGGAAUUACUGGGCGUAAAGCGUGCGCAGGCGGUUUUGUCAGACAGAUUUGAAAUCCCCCGGCUUAACCUGGGAACUGCCUUUGUGACUGCAAGACUAGAGUGCGGCAGAGGGGGGUAGAAUUCCACGUGUAGCAGUGAAAUGCGUAGAUAUGUGGAGGAAUACCGAUGGCGAAGGCAGCCCCCUGGGAUAACACUGACGCUCAUGUACGAAAGCGUGGGUAGCAAACAGG